AGUCAUAUGCUUGUCUCAAAGAUUAAGCCAUGCAUGUCUCAGUACAAGCCAAAUUAAGGUGAAACCGCGAAAGGCUCAUUAAAUCAGUUAUGGUUCCUUAGAUCGUACCCACAUUUACUUGGAUAACUGUGGUAAUUCUAGAGCUAAUACAUGCAAACAGAGCUCCAACCGGAGACGGAAGGAGUGCUUUUAUUAGAUCAAAACCAAUCGGCGGCAGUAGCGUUUCGGCGUUAUUGUUCGUCGCACUGUUUGGUGACUCUGAAUAACUUUUGGCUGAUCGCACGGUCUCGCACCGGCGACGCAUCUUUCAAAUGUCUGCCUUAUCAACUGUCGAUGGUAGGUUCUGCGCCUACCAUGGUUGUAACGGGUAACGGGGAAUCAGGGUUCGAUUCCGGAGAGGGAGCCUGAGAAACGGCUACCACAUCCAAGGAAGGCAGCAGGCGCGCAAAUUACCCACUCCCGGCACGGGGAGGUAGUGACGAAAAAUAACGAUACGGGACUCAUCCGAGGCCCCGUAAUCGGAAUGAGUACACUUUAAAUCCUUUAACGAGGACCAAUUGGAGGGCAAGUCUGGUGCCAGCAGCCGCGGUAAUUCCAGCUCCAAUAGCGUAU
rnacentral:rRNA from 2 species